rnacentral:guide_RNA from 1 species
AUAUAAAUAAAACCAACAGAAAAAUGUUGCUUGUAGAUUAACAGAUUUG